rnacentral:tRNA from 1 species
GGGGGCACAGCUCAGUGGUAGAGAGUGUACUUAGCAUGCAUGAAGUCCUGGGCUCAAUUCCCAGUACCUUUA